GUCACCUGUGUGGUAAUGGGCUGCAUGGCAGGAUCUCCUUGUGAGCAGGGAUACCUUGUGUGGAGAUCUCUUAUGCUUUGACAUCGAGAGAUUCCUUGCCAUUACAGAUCCUUGCAGAGAACCUAACUGGAGGGUUAGAUGAGCAGUGAAAAGCAUCAUUAAAGCAAAACAAGCACAACCGUCAAAACCAUGUAGUAGUCCCUGUCAAGAGUAGUUGGAAGAAUCAGGCUGAAAGAACCUUUAUUUUGACCUGAUAAACUUUUUCCUGAGUUCUGAAGCAUUUUUUUCUUCUUUCUGGUGCAUAAAUUUAUUAAUCUUUGUACUCCAUGUCUGGCAUGAUUUGGAAUCAUCUUCUCAAUUUGCCUCUGAAUACCCACAGAUAUUUAGUCUUAAGCCUGAUCUUUUCUGUACUUUCCCCAGUAAACUUUGUUUAGAUUUAAACGCCACAGUUUUCCUGUAUCUUUUGUGGUGGACUUGAGGAGCUAUGCCUUUUCUUCCUGCCCCAUUUUUUUUGUCCUUCAGAAAUCCCAACAUGCCACUGUUCUUUCAGUUGUUAUUCACCCACUGUGAUUUAUUCUAGAAAAGACUCUAAACUGCAAUAUUCAAUCAAUAAACAAAAUAUUAGAGUGGCACCUUGAUGGACCAAUUACAGGAAGGUAAUUGUAAAAAUGUGCUUUUAUUUCUUCUAGACAUUGUGUGCAGAAGUGAUAAAGUGGACUUCACAUUACUGAAGUCAAAUUAUGAUGAAUGAGAAUUCAUGCCAACAUUUCGGCAUGGUUUUGGCAACUAGCAGAUUUAUUAGCUGAUUAAAAAUAAAAGAUGAAGACACACUGCCUGUUGGUUCAUUGAAGAGCUACUUAAAUGCUAACAUAAUGGAACUAUUAUUUCUAAGAACUCUGAUUAAAUGUGAUAUUAUACUUCUACAGCAUCACUUUUCUUUCUGCAGUCUCACUGAAAAGGAUAAUCCAUUGUAGUAAUAUCAAUCUUUGUAGCUAAUACCAUCAAACUUCAAACCAGUUGAAUAUUUUACCUGAUGAAGUGAUGUGAUUAUAUGCAUUUUAAAUAGUUUCAGUUUUCACUGAUUCAUACAUAAAUCAAGAUGUCUUGCAAACAAAAUAAUAGUCUUUCUGCUUUCCUGUCAUUUCUAAGAUUGAUACGUAAGUUACCAGACUGCUACCUGUUACUUGUUUAUUUGAGGUUCUUAAAAUUCUUCCUAUUUGUACCUCUUUCCUUUCACUAACAUCAGGUUCUUCAGGUUAGCAUUAAUUUCUCCCAAAGAUUUUUAACUUGUACUAUUUUCCCUUUCAAGCCAAUGUAGAUUUUACUUGUACAAGACAGAUUUUAUCAGGAAUUUUGUGAUUGCUAAAAUAAUAAUGUGCUGUAAAGAGUUAGAUACUAUUAGAAUUUCCUGUAAUCACAUUUAUUGAGUUUAUUGUAAUUGAUUUGCAGAUUAAAAGGUCGUGUGGUGAUCUAAUAUGUCCUCUGAUAUGAUGUCAGUCCUUCCAAAGCUUCCAUUUAUCUUGAGGGACUGACAUGCAGCAGGGCAGGAGUAGCAGAAUUGAAUCUUGAUGUAAAACUUCCUAGAGACAUAAAGAAUAUAAUAAAACAUAUAAUCAAAUGUGAAAGUGACCUUUCUGCCACUUUUUCCUGACUCAUCCUUUCUUGUCUUCCUUUCUAACUCCUGUAACUCAGAGACUGUUACUUUGUUUUCUACAGUUGCACAGAUCCAGUGUUUUAUCUGACUUCAGUUGGCUACUGAGCAUCUAGUAGAGGUCUGAGUAAGAGGGAUCAGAGUAUUAGCAGAAAAACAAUGAACUGUGUAGUAAUUUUUCUUUGUUACUUGUAUUAGUAAUCUAAGGCAAGUUCUGCAAAAUACACAGGGAG